GGAGAAGCACCCCUAAAGGGUGGCGGGGCUUC
rnacentral:tRNA from 1 species